UGCAGGUCCUUAACAGCCACCUCCAGGUUCUUCUUCAUCCUCUCCAGGUCCCAUAAUUUUCAUGGAUUACUGAGUCCAGAUCUAUCAAUGUGGCAGUGCUGCAGGUCCUCAGCAUCAACUUCCAGGUUCUUCUUCAUUAUCUCCAGCCUCCUCAAGCUCAUGCUGGAUCUUCCUGCACUUGGACAGAUGAACAUUGGCCUGCUCCUCCUGGAAUAGCACAAAUAUAUUUUAAAGACUGCCUCUUGUAGGCCUUCACCUUGAGCUGUAACUUGUCAACCAAAUCCUGCAGCCUGACUCGAGUUUCUGGAGCUGCUUCUUGCCACCCUUCAUGGCCAGGUUCUCAGCCUCAUCCAGGCGGUGCUGCAGGUCCUUAACAGCCACCUCCAGGUUCUUCUUCAUCCUCUCCAGACUGCCUCUUGUAGGCCUUCACCUUGAGCUGUAACUUGUCAACCAAAUCCUGCAGCCUGACUCAAGUUUCUGGAGCUGCUUCUUGCCACCCUUCAUGGCCAGGUUCUCAGCCUCAUCCAGGCGGUGCUGCAGGUCCUUAACAGCCACCUCCAGGUUCUUCUUCAUCCUCUCCAGGUCCCAUAAUUCUCAUGGAUUACUGGGUUCAGAUCCGUCAAUGUGGCAGUGCUGCAGGUCCUCAGCAGCAACUUCCAGGUUCUUCUUCAUUAUCUCCAGUGUCUACCUCACAACCUGGCCAGCCUCAAGCCUCUUUUUGUAUUCAAAAAGACUUCAAAUCAUCACAUGCUUGAUGUGCAUUUAUUAUUUGAUUUGUGAAUUAGUGAGGGGGAAAAAAAAGUCCAGAAGUUCAUUACACCCACUAACAUCAACAGCUGCUCAAACGCUUCACACCCUCUCUCUGUCUAUUUCCGAACAUUCCUUAUAUCCACAAUUUCUGCCACCUGUUGACUGACUGUACUCAUAGUGGAAGCUUACUUCUGUGUGUUAUUUCCACUCUGAGAAUAUUAUUCUUUUUAAUUGUAAUUGAGUUCUGCUAAGCAGGAAAGGAUUCACAAAAUGAUGAAAAUGCAACACCAUAGUUUGAUCUUAAUUUAAGAUUUAAUAAGCUGGUAAUAAUGUUAAUAAAAAAAAACACAUUAAAAAUAGUUGAGUUAAAAACUUUAUAAUUAACUUUAAAUAAUCUUUAAUGAUGUGUGAAAUGUGUGAAAUGUUAUGUUUCAUACUUAACUUUUGUCAUUUUAGGAAAAAGUGUUCAUAGUAGUUCAAAUUAAUUGUUUAAUUAAUAUGAAAAUGUUGCUCUUAUAUAUAUCAUAAUGUAUAACAGUGUUGCAUAUUUGGACUACCGUGGCCUGAAGCAUUAUAAUAGAUAGUUUCACCACAAACAUAACUUGAUCAGUCUUCUAAACACUCACUGACUGGAAUUAGAUUCUUUGCAUUGAAUGUGUUUAGCUUACAACGCAGGAGUUAAAAAUGGGACACAUGCCAAAUAUGGUUAGGACAACAGCUGAUGCUUACAUGACUUAAACAUUUGUUGCUACACACAUCUUAUGUUUCAGGUUUCCAUUGGCAAAAACAGAUCCUGAAUUUGUAAUAAUCCCUGCUUAAAAUAGGUAAUUUUAAAGUUUAAUUUGAAGUCUUUUAGCUAUUCAUUGAUUUGGGCAAUUUAUUGCAGCAUAAUGGUUACAGUAAAAAUGCAUACAGUAUGUAUUCAUAUUCUUCUUACAUAAUAGUUAAUUAAUUUGUUUGAUUAAGAAUAAAAUAAAAAUACCAAAUAAAAGUUCAAAAUACUAAAUGGAACAAAAGGCUUCAAAAUGAAAUUAUGUGAACAGUGCUGUUUAAAUUGAAACAAUUACAUUAAGGUUAGUUUCACAAGAAAUAAAUAAUUAAAAUUAUAUUACUAUUACUUGUGGUUAGGUGUAAGAGAUAUGUCUCUGGUAUUCACACUCAUAUGUCAAGCUAUUAACACUUUAACUGACUCUGCAGACAUAGCUUCAAGUCCAUUUUUGGCUCCACACACAUCACUGCUAGCUGAAUGUCACCCUCAUUCCUGUUGUAGAGCGAUAUAUUUUUUAAAUGUAAAAGGCAAUAGCGAAUUAAUAGUGAUGAACUUAUGAAAAACAUUAUAAUAUCAAGUCAGGUUCAUUUACAUGUUUGUCUCUGUGGUGUACCUGAUUGAAAUAAAUGUUAUUUUAUAUGAAUUGA